UGUGGCUCAGUGGUAGAGUGCUUGCCUAGCAUGCAUGAGGCACUAAGUUCAAUCCCUGGCA
rnacentral:tRNA from 1 species